GGCCACCCUUGAAUCAUUAAACUUUCUUUAACAUUUAAAACUCUAUUACACAAAAUUUGUAAAAAUUCUCCUUUUUCUCUCCUUCAAAAUUAAAAGAAAAUACAUUGUUUGUCGUAGUAAUUAUGCUUUCUCUAUUCUUCGAUUCUUAAUUAAUAAUAAUUCAGCUGAUUAAUAAUUAAGCUCCUCUAAGUUCUGGCAAAUUUCUUUAUCUAUUUUUCUGAAGAAACACCCGUAUAAACGAUAAGAAAUCAGGCCAGAGACCUACAACGCUUUACUAAAAGACUAGUAUUGCCGGCGGACGGUUGAUAUUGAUAUUUUCAAGUAUGUAAAAUAUUCUUACAGGGGUGAUAUAGACGAGGCUAAUAAAGUAUCCAAAAAUUGAAACGAUCAGCACCAGCUUCCAGUUUUUCACGUUCGGAAAAUGAUCGCAGAGGAUGUUAAAAACAGCGCUGCAAAGGGCCACGGCGCUUCCGAUGCCAAGAACAAACAUCAUCACGAAAAACAAGACGGCAAAAAGUUGAGGAACCACCUGGAACUGGGACAGUGCUUCGGGAUAGGAGAUGAAAGCCAGUCCUGUACCACCGCGGACCACUUUCGAUAUAUCCGUGGUGCCCAUUUCGUGAGCUAGAUUUCCAAGAAUGCCGAAAAUCGUGCAUCCUGCUAUUAGACUGGUGAAGGUGUCCAAAGUCGUCACUAUCAUCACG